GAUGAACGCUGGCGGCGUGCCUAAUACAUGCAAGUCGAGCGAACGGACGCUUAGCUUGCUUCUCUGAUGUUAGCGGCGGACGUGUGAGUAACAUGUGGAUAACCUACCUAUAAGAUUGGGAUAACUUCGGGAAACCGGAACUAAUACCGGAUAAUAUUUUGAACCGCAUGGUUCAAAAGUUAAUUACGUUCUUGCUGUCACUUAUAGAUGUAUCCUCGCUGCAUUAGCUAUUUGGUAAGGUAACGGCUUCCCAAGGCAACGAUGCAUAGCCGACCUGAGAGGGUGAUGGGCCACAAUGGAACUGAGACGCGAUCCAGACUCCUACGGGAGGCAGCAGUAGGGAAGCGUCCGAGAUGGGCGAAAGACUGAAGGAGCAACGCCGCGUGAGUGAUGAAGGUCUUCGGAUCGUAAAACUGUGUUAGUAGGGAAGAACAUAUGUGUAAGUAACUGUGCACAUCUUGACGGUACCUAAUCAGAAAGCCACGGCUAACUACGUG
rnacentral:rRNA from 1 species